rnacentral:rRNA from 1 species
AACGAACGUUGGCGGCGUGGCUUAGGCAUGCAAGUCGAACGAGAAAGUUUCCUUCGGGGAGCGAGUAUAGUGGCAAAAGGGUGAGUAAUGAUUAGUUAACCUACCCCUAAAACUGGGAUAACUACCCGAAAGGGUUGCUAAUACCGGAUGGUCUAUGAGAGAUGCAUAUCUUUUAUAGUAAAGGCGCUCGCAAGGGUGUCGAUUAGGGAGGGGAUUAAUUCCUAUUAGCUAGUUGGUGAGGUAAUGGGCUCUACCAAGGCAUUGAUGGGUAACCGAUCUGAGAGGAUGACCGGUCACACUGGGACUGAGACACUGCCCAGACUCCUACGGGAGGCUGC